CCGGACAUAAUUUAAACUCUUAUUCUUUUAGUCCCAUAAUAUCUUUUUUCUUGAUAAAUUUAUUUGACUAUCCUGACAUUUUAUCGUGUGUGUUUAAGGUCCAUUGAGCAUUGGUGAGUGUCAAAAUGAGCGGUGGUUGAUGAGAAAUGACUUGCAUUCGAUUCUAGAGCAUUCCCCAAGUAGCCAAUUUUUGAACUCAUCUGCCAUGUGCCAGCUCAUAGUGCAUGCUUGGACAGCACGCGUCCUCCCAUACAAAUACUCACUACAGAGGUACAAGAGAGCAUUUUUAGAAACCCUAGACCCGCGGCUUGGGCACCCACUCUACCUCUCCCCAAUCUCUUCCCACCAUCUUUAUCAUUCUCUCAUCCAAAAAGCCUCACAACAGAUCCAGGAGAUUUCCCAAAAGAAAAACCAAAAAAAGCUGCAAGCAUCCCAAAGGAGCAACAAAGAUAGAAAGAAAAGGAGAAACAGAGACAACAACAACGAAUCAGAGUUUUUUUCCAUCUCUUCUGCUAUAAAUUUCCUCUUUCUUUUUGUCUAACUUGAGUUUCUGACUUGUGUAUUGGUUUCCCUUUCAGCCAAAACAAAGAGAACAAAAAGAAAAAUAGAAGCAGAAAGAGUACAUUCAGUGGGUGUAGUUUUCACCUAAAAAACCCAACUUUAGACAAAGUUGUGGAUCCCACCCACUGACCAAUGACAGAGGACUAGAACAGAUAUAUUCACUCCCCUUUGACUUUUCUUUCUCCUUCUCCUUUUUUUACUCUGACUCCUCUUUCUCUUUUUUCCUUAAUCUAUCUCUGCUUCUCACUCUCUUCUUUCUCAUUAGAUCAAUCGGAAAUUGUAGAAAAUUGCAAAGGAGGGCCUCUUGUUAUAAAGACUAUUGGGAAGGUUUUAUACUUCAAAGACACAAAAGAAGAAUGGUCAUUAAUAAAAAAUAAUGAACUUACAAAUGUAACUCAAUCAAAGAAUGGUGUUUUACCGAUUCUAAAAUUGAGUUAUGAUCAUUUUUCAUCA